UACGUAGGGUGCAAGCGUUGUCCGGAAUUAUUGGGCGUAAAGAGCUCGUAGACGGUUUGUCGCGUCUGCUGUGAAAACUCAGGGCUUAACCCUGAGCCGGCAGUGGAUACGGGCAGGCUAGAGGUAGGUAGGGGAGAAUGGAAUUCCUGGUGUAGCGGUGAAAUGCGCAGAUAUCAGGAGGAACACCGGUGGCGAAGGCGGUUCUCUGGGCCUUACCUGACACUGAGGAGCGAAAGCGUGGGGAGCGAACAGGA
rnacentral:rRNA from 1 species